UUGACAAAGGCUUCUUUGGUGUGAGCAAGGCGGCAAGGUUGAAAGAUUCUUCUAGCAAGAAAGUCAUAAGAUUUAUUAAAAUUGAAGAUACACAACAAGGCGAAUUUGAAGCUGAAAUCAAUACUUUUAUACAAAUUAAACAUGACAAUGUUUUAUCAGUCAACAUGGUUAAGAGUCCCUACCAGAAUUUUCUGGUUAUGGACUUCUCAGAAUUUGGCUCACUCUAUAAAAUUCUACAUGUAAAUAAAGAUCUACUUUCCGAUCUACUCCUACUAAACUGGGCACAACAGUUAUUACUGGUAUGUUCUAUGUGUUGUUGCUUUCAGUUUAUGGUACAGUUAAUUAAUCAAAUCAUUCACAAUCUAGGGUAUUCGGGCUUUACAUGAUAAGAAUAUUGUUCAUGGCAAUUUAGGUACUCGCAAUUUAUUUCUCUUCGACGACAAUAUGGUAUUGAAGAUAUGUUUGGAUCCAACUAAAACGUGUGGAGCACCCAUUUCCGCUUAUACGGCACCUGAAAUUCUUAAAUAUGGACGACGCACAACCAGGAGCGAUGUGUACAGUUUUGGUAUUAUUCUUUGGGAAUUGCUAUCAAGGAAGAUACCCUUUAAUGAUACAACAGACCAAAUCCUCGCAUCUAUGAUCUUAAGCGGUAAACGGCCCGAUCUGGAGGAAAUGAAAAAAUAUCGAUAUAUUGAAGUAUUGCGAAGUGUGAUCAAGCAAUGUUGGAAUGAAGAUCCAAACAAACGGCCCGCAGUGAACAUUUUGAAUCUUAUAUUCAAAUACGAUUAUGACGAAAUUAAAAUAUUAGAGCGUAUUUAAAAAAAAAUGGAGUCGAAGUAAAAUAAAACCCGGAAGUAUAACGCAAAGGAAAUAUAGAGACUAUAUUUCAAAUAGUAUGCCGGAAAUGGAACUUUCUAAACGUUCACAAAACAAUUUUUAAUUUUACUCAAAGCCUGUGCUCACCAGCUAUUAAUAAUUAGAUACCAGGAAACGAAUCUGAGAACUCAAAAUCAGCUGAUUUACGCUAAAAAUUUGCGAUGUCAAUAGCUAUGCUAUUGUAUUCUGAUACUAGGCGGCGGAUCCCAAGGUUAUGUCUACCCUGGAAACUUUAAAGUUGCUAUAAAGCAACUCAGGUCUUCAGAGGCAGAGAUAAAUAAAUCAUUUGAAGCGGAGGACACGAACUUACUUCGCGCUCAACAUCCGAAUAUUAUAAGAUUAUACGGCAUUUCAAGAGAAAUAUGUACUAAUCAAACAGUUUACAGACUAAUCAUGGAAUAUACUCUUAAUGGAACUCUUCAUUAUUACAUCCAAGAAAAAAAAAGGAGACGAUUUAGCCCGUCAAAUUCUAAUGCUUCAAUGCGCCGAGGAUAUCGCUUAUCUUCAUAGUCUGACGUGGAUACUGCACCGCGACCUGAAACCCGCAAAUAUUUUACUUACAAAUGACUACUGUACGCUAAAGAUUUGUGAUUUCGGAGCGGCACGAGAACUAGGCACAUAUUGACUUUCUUGCUUAGCCUUGAUCAUUCCGCUAUUAAAAAUCUAGAAGAGUCUGAUCAUAGGGAUGAUCCAAGAAUUAAUGACCAGAACUGAAUAAUGAAAUUUUUAGUUACGUUACUCCUAUUAAAAAUUGAUAAACAAUUAGAUGAUCUCGCCUUUUGAUAGGCAUAUGAUCGAUAGUUGAAUCGAUUUAUUUGUGAAUCAUCAUCAGUGGCUCAGUUGACUCAAAGCUCAAUGUCCCGGGAAGCAAUAGCAGAACCAAGAAACGGAGAGCGCUUUGCUUACGCACCCUUAAAAUUCAACCACAAGAAAUU
rnacentral:misc_RNA from 1 species